GAACGCCGUAUGAUGGGAAACUGUCACGUACGGUGUGAGGCGGGGGAAAAGUUGGAGAUAAUAUCAAAUCCUUACCUAUCGCAC
rnacentral:ncRNA from 1 species